UACGGGGGGUGCGAGCGUUGUUCGGAAUCACUGGGCGUAAAGCGCGCGUAGGCGGAUUGUUAAGUCAGGGGUGAAAUGCCGAGGCUCAACCUCGGAACUGCCUUUGAUACUGGCAAUCUUGAGUCCGGGAGAGGUGAGUGGAACUCCUAGUGUAGAGGUGAAAUUCGUAGAUAUUCGCAAGAACACCAGUGGCGAAGGCGGCUCACUGGCCCGGUACUGACGCUGAGGUGCGAAAGCGUGGGGAGCAAACAGG
rnacentral:rRNA from 1 species